CAGCAGGCCCUUCAGAUACUGGAAGGCGCUAUAAUGUCUCCCUGGACCCUUCUCUUCUCCAGGCUGAACAACCCCAACUCUCUCAGCCUGUCUUCAUGGGAGAGGUGCUCCAUCCCUCUGACCAUCUUCACUUCAUCAGAUUUCUCUUGCUGUUCUGGAAAGCUUUAGAAAACACAGUGAAAAUAUUUACAUUCAUCACUGGUGACACCUUUCUCAGACAAAUUCAGGAACAUAAAAUGGUGGGCCUGAAAAAAAAGGGGUGAAGCGAAUCAGACAGAAGACGCUGGAAGAAGACAUUUACACUGCAGUGGGAGAGCCAGCCCCUUCACUCACAACACCAGGCCCCAGGAUGUAGCACCAUCAGCAACAACCAGAAGACAUGUCCAAGAACUUGUGACACCUUGGUGGGCCACCAGACAGCUUCAGGUGUUGCUGCUGCAUCAUCUCCAGCUACAACCAGAGAAUCAUGAAUGUGACGUGGAUACAACACUCUCAGUGUGCUGUGUGAAUCUACCCUACAAUCUCUUUAUACUACAGUGGCAUAAUUAAAGCGAAAAGUUGAACAAUG